GUACUUUGUAAAGCUCACUAACGCACAUGGUAAUUGGAAAACCAAACAAGUUCGCUGGGACUCCCAGGUCGGGUCCAACAUCAGCUCUUUCGGUGGCAGAGUCACAAAGUAGAGCAGGACAACGAAGGGGCAGACAGACAGACAGCCGUCCCGCCCUGUCCGGCAGCCCCUGCUCUCCAGAGAGCCCGCGGAUCCACGAAUGUGCUAAAUCCAUCCACCAGGGCAGACCACUCUAGAGGCCCCCUCCUACAGCUCACACCUGGUUCCAGGCCCCAGUAUCUGAUCAUCGCCAUGAUACUGAGAGAAAACCAACCACAUUCAAACCAUAGUAACUGUGCUCUGCGUAAGACCAAGGCUCCCAGAUGCCGGGGCGGGGGUGCCGGGGAUCGAACUCAGGACCUUGCACUUGGCAGGCAGAUGGUGGAACCCCUGAGCCAAAUCCCCAGCCUGAUACCAAAGUUUCCAAUCAUUUCGAGGACACAGGGUGAGGUCCUGACGCCGACCCCGCAGACCUGAGUGAUCUGAGCCUGUCCUCCUUCUCCGAUGGCCCCCACCUGCGCCUCUGGCCACCCUGCUCACCGGCCAGAAAAACGAGCACAAGAGAAGCUGUUCGUGGUUGCUUCCUGUCCACCGCCAAACACCAGACACUCCAGCUUCCACAUGGCGUGGUUUUCUGUUCUCUGAGACACCAAAAGUGUAAGGACCUGGCGAGCGACUAAAAGGUGGGUGACAGGAAAGGGAACAGGUCUUCUGAAAGGCAGGGGACCAAUACAUGGAGGGGAGGCGAGGAAGGAGCUGCAGAGGGAGUUAGCGUGGUGUCGGCCCGGGCACCCACGCCCCACGAGAAUGUGGCCGUCGGGCACUGCAGAGAUGGUCUCAUAAAAUCAAAGAAAAAGAAGUUUGGCGUUAGGAAAAGCCCAGGGCCAGAUUAUCCACUCAGAUCUUUACUGCCUUCUCCUUCGGAUCCUCUUCCCAGACACCACAGAUAAUACUCUCUUUCCUGCCCAAACUCCUGCCAGUGUGAGCAGAAGACACAAAAACAUCCCCACCCCGUGGAUACACGACAAGGAGAAAUCCAGGGCGCUGCUGCACGGUGGAGACCAACCCUGUGUGCCCGGAACAAAAUCUCACCCUCCAUCUCCGCCGUGCAGAACCAGCAACAAAAGUGCACAGGAGGGUGACAGUUACGGCCACAGCAACAGUCACAGCCAUCAGGCCCAGCCGGCUGACUUAUGUUUGAGCCGCUGCGUGUCCAGCUACACGGAUCGCGAGGUGACUGGAGAUUCUGUAGCCUCCUCUGCCUCCGCCAGCCUGGUCGCCAACCGGGUCGCCAACCGGAGAACCCGAUCCUGCCACCAGAUGGCGCCCGCGAGAGACCAAAGCCCGCUCUGAAUGAGAGGUGCUCCCCGCGGCUGGAUGGGAACCUUCGAUGUCCACC